AGUGAACGCUGGCGGCGUGCUUAACACAUGCAAGUCGAACGAGAACGGAAUAUAGCUUGCUAUAUUUGUCAGCUAAGUGGCGCACGGGUGAGUAAUGUAUAGAUAACCUGCCCUUAAGGAAGGAAUAACAGUUGGAAACGACUGCUAAUGCCCUAUAUGCCUUUAAUACAUAAGUAUGCAAGGGAAACGCUUUAGUGCUUAAGGAUGGGUCUGUAUGGUAUCAGCUUGUUGGUGAGGUAAUGGCUCACCAAGGCUAUGACGCCUAACUGGUUUGAGAGGAUGAUCAGUCACACUGGAACUGAGACACGGUCCAGACUCCUACGGGAGGCAGCAGUGGGGAAUAUUGCACAAUGGACGAAAGUCUGAUGCAGCAACGCCGCGUGGAGGAUGACACAUUUCGGUGCGUAAACUCCUUUUAUAUAGGAAGAUAAUGACGGUACUAUACGAAUAAGCACCGGCUAACUCCGUGCCAGCAGCCGCGGUAA
rnacentral:rRNA from 1 species